UGUAUACAGUUGCAAUCGUGUGAAACCCAAUAUUAAUCAACAUGAGCCAUCUUGUAUACUUUAAACAAAAGAUAACAAGCCUCAAAUGUGCAGAACAUUUUUAAAUAAUUUAUUUUUCAAUUCAAACAGCAUCUCAAGCAAUUCUCUCAAAAAAUUUAACAACAUUCCUCUCAAGUCUAGACCUCGUCCCUCUUAAAUGUGCUGUAGGUAGGCUUUAAGAGCUAUAAUUUAAUAUAACCGUAACCAUUUGGAGCUAAUAGUCAGUGAAGUGCUGUGAGAAUGUCUGUUGGAGCGCCCUGUCUAUGCAUGAACCAAUUCAGCUUUUGGAACACUCCUAACUAAGUUCUGACUAUCAGUGCAGAUGCCCUGAUUGGCUUGAGGAAUCCAUCUUGCCUGUCAAUCACAAGUGAGUCAAUGCAACAUGCCUCAAUGGCAGUGAAAUGUAUGGAGGAAGGGAGCUGAGAGGAGGGCACUUAUUUGGGGUUGUUCAGUUUAUUGCUCUUUUCUGCACUCUCUUUUUAUAACUCUCAAAUCUUUACUACAGCACAUUGGAUCUCUGCUCAGGUAAGAACGCCCUUUUUACUUUAACACUGUCUCUAUACAACCUGUUUCACAGUUAGCAGCAUCAUACACUACAGUCUGUUUACACCUGAUUGGAUUCCCUGCGAUAGGAUCUCAAUGCGGCUCUGGGUCUAACUCCCUGAAGUAAAGUUCAGUGCAGUUCUCACAACAUCAUCGAUAAGGAUCUCACUCUGUAGCUUCAUUGAGCUGCACCAAAACAAUGUGAGCGCACUGCCUUGCUCACUGACUUGGCCGCAAGCUACAGUAAUUUGCCACCCUCUUGGCAAUGAAGCCAGGGAGGUAAACCACAGACUCAUUCAAUCUUCUGGAAGUAAUAGAAGGAAUUCAUUUAAUGGAACAUCCUUUUCUGAUGGUUAAUGCACACCUUGAAAACCCUGAAUAAUAUAAAAGGUAAAACACAGAUUUCUGUUAUCACUUUAAAUUAAUAUUCUUUACAGAAAGGUCCUUUGAGGUCAUAAUUCUAUGAUUGCAUUAUGCUGCAGAAGAGGCUAAAUACCCACUGAUUGGGCAGCCAUUUUCCGGACAGCCCUGUGCACUGACCCGUCAGACUGCUUCAACACAGUAUGCUGACCCCUGACAUGGCCUGCUUUAUCUCCUCUCUGGCGAGGGCAUAGCGUUUGACUAUCUGACGGAUGUGCACCUCUUCCUCGCGUUGAAGCAUCCGCAGGAAGUUGCACAGCUCAGGAAAGCUGAAAGCGUCCCACUAACCAGGCUCAGGGCCUUCUCCCCAGGGCCAGCACAGAGGCGUAAGUGUAAGGGGCAUGCGUCGUCAGACACCUUACGGAGGGCAAAUUUCGCCGGGUUGUCCACCACAGUGAACUUGUUGAGCAGGGCCUGAAUGACUUCCCGUGCGCGGGUCUGGGAGCUGAUGUGCAGGUGCUUGGCACUAUCUCUCGGGAGGUAAAAUGACGUCCUCCGCGUCGAGGCCACUUGGGCUUGUCCUUCUUGUGUCAGAGACAGUUUGCGUGGCAACGGCAGAGAAAUCGGACGAGCAAGCUGAAACUGCACCCUUAUGAACCCUGUGUAUGACCCGUCCUUAUUCUGCAAAGAUCAUCAUGAACAGUGAAAAGCACAACAUCUAGGCUCCAAGGCAACCUUACUUCCAUAUACAUGAAUGUGCAGAAAGAAUGAAGAACAGCUUCACUUACGUUCACCAUGAAGUGAUUAUUGUUGAUCUGGGCAUUGUAUUCCUUUAUCUUCUGCUGGAUUUCACCAAAAGUCAAUUCUUGCUUUCCCCAUUCAAUCUGUUCAUCCUGAAAUAUAGGUGACGAAAGGGAUACAAAUCAUUUCAAUGUAAAAAAAAAAGCUGUACAAUUGUGAUGUUGCCUUCUCUUAAAUGAUUGGUAUAUUAGUGUCCUCACAAAAUAAAUCAAUGUAUUUGUUGACGAAUGGAAAACUGAGUGGCAGUGGAAGAUUUGUCCCACUCUUGUUGUGUGUGUGUGUAGAGUUUAAGGGCAUUGUGGUAGAUUUAAAAAGAAAAACGUGACUUGAGAGGCUGAUCAAAUUGUCCUUGCCUUGCCUAUUCAUGGUGCCCUCAGUAAAAUGGCUCUUACCA